rnacentral:misc_RNA from 1 species
GAACUGCGAUAAGUAAUGUGAAUUGCAGAAUUCAGUGAAUCAUCGAGUCUUUGAACGCACAUUGCGCCCCCUGGCAUUCCGGGGGGCAUGCCUGUCCGAGCGUCAUUGCUGCCCUUCAAGCCCGGCUUGUGUGUUGGGUCGUCGUCCCCUCCGGGGGACGGGCCCGAAAGGCAGCGGCGGCACCGCGUCCGGUCCUCGAGCGUAUGGGGCUUUGUCACCCGCUCGAUAAGGACCGGCCGGGCGCCAGCCGGCGUCUCCAACCUUUUUUUCUCAGGUUGACCUCGGAUCAGGUAGGGAUUCCCGCUGAACUUAAGC